rnacentral:rRNA from 1 species
UACGUAGGGUGCGAGCGUUGUCCGGAAUUACUGGGCGUAAAGAGCUCGUAGGCGGUUUGUCGCGUCGUCCGUGAAAACUUGGGGCUCAACCCCAAGCUUGCGGGCGAUACGGGCAGACUUGAGUACUGCAGGGGAGACUGGAAUUCCUGGUGUAGCGGUGAAAUGCGCAGAUAUCAGGAAGAACACCCGUGGCGAAGGCGGCUCUCUGGUACGUGACUGACGCUGAGACGCGAAAGCGUGGGGAGCGAACAGG